UUCCCUAGCCAUACACGUAUCCACCCCAAUUUUCCACCUCUCUUAUCUGAUUUUGCUGCCCCAAAAGUCUUCACACUUUUCUCAUUUUCUUGGCUGCAUCAGAUCAGAAGUCCAGCCCCUCUCUCUCUACUCCUUUUCCUCUUUCUUUGUUCUUCUUUCUCUCUUCUUCUGUUGCUUCUACACGGCAGCCCUCCCUUUCUCACCAACACAAUAUAUUCCUCUCUAAAGAUGAAAUUAAACAAUUAACCCUAAGGUUUCAGCUUCAAAUUGUUGUGGGUGUUACCAGUAUCCAAGUCUAAGCUCCUUCGACUUUAGGCUCUCGGUUCCUCUGCUUUCAGGCAAGUCCACAAGUA